rnacentral:rRNA from 1 species
AAUGAACGCUGGCGGCAGGCCUAACACAUGCAAGUCGAACGGGUCCUUCGGGACUAGUGGCGGACGGGUGAGUAACGCGUGGGAACGUGCCCUUUGCUACGGAAUAGCCCCGGGAAACUGGGAGUAAUACCGUAUAAGCCCUACGGGGGAAAGAUUUAUCGGCAAAGGAUCGGCCCGCGUUGGAUUAGGUAGUUGGUGGGGUAAUGGCCUACCAAGCCGACGAUCCAUAGCUGGUUUGAGAGGAUGAUCAGCCACACUGGGACUGAGACACGGCCCAGACUCCUACGGGAGGCAGCAGUGGGGAAUCUUAGACAAUGGGGGAAACCCUGAUCUAGCCAUGCCGCGUGAUCGAUGAAGGCCUUAGGGUUGUAAAGAUCUUUCAGGUGGGAAGAUAAUGACUGUACCACCAGAAGAAGCCCCGGCUAACUCCGUGCCAGCAGCCGCGGUAA